GAUGAACGCUGGCGGCGUGCCUAAUACAUGCAAGUCGAGCGAACAGACGAGGAGCUUGCUCCUUUGACGUUAGCGGCGGACGGGUGAGUAACACGUGGAUAACCUACCUAUAAGACUGGGAUAACUUCGGGAAACCGGAGCUAAUACCGGAUAACAUGUUGAACCGCAUGGUUCAACAGUGAAAGACGGUCUUGCUGUCACUUAUAGAUGGAUCCGCGCCGCAUUAGCUAGUUGGUAAGGUACGGCUUACCAAGGCAACGAUGCGUAGCCGACCUGAGAGGGUGAUCGGCCACACUGGAACUGAGACACGGUCCAGACUCCUACGGGAGGCAGCAGUAGGGAAUCUUCCGCAAUGGGCGAAAGCCUGACGGAGCAACGCCGCGUGAGUGAAGAAGGUCUUCGGAUCGUAAAACUCUGUUAUUAGGGAAGAACAAAUGUGUAAGUAACUAUGCACGUCUUGACGGUACCUAAUCAGAGAGCCACGGCUAACUACGUG
rnacentral:rRNA from 1 species